UACGUAGGGUGCAAGCGUUAAUCGGAAUUACUGGGCGUAAAGCGUGCGCAGGCGGCUUUGCAAGCCAGAUGUGAAAUCCCCGGGCUUAACCUGGGAACUGCAUUUGUGACUGCAUGGCUGGAGUGCGGCAGAGGGGGAUGGAAUUCCGUGUGUAGCAGUGAAAUGCGUAGAUAUCGCUUGGAACGCCAAUGGUGAAAACAGCUCGCUGGGGGUGUGCUGACGCUGAGACACGAAAGCCAGGGGAGCGAACGGG
rnacentral:rRNA from 1 species